GGGGGCCGGGCGGCCGGAGCGGCCCCGCGGUGCUUGGCCGGGGAGUGACCGGCGUGACCCGGGGUGGCAGCAGCCGCCCUCCGCGUCGGUCUGCUGUGAGGCCAAGCGAUGACCACUCCCCUCGCCCCCGCCGCCUCCUUUUUUCCCCAACGGCCCUUGGCAGGGCCUGCCCCGAAGCUGCUGGACAGGGGCUGCCUCUGAGUCCCCUGGAGGCUUUGCUGUUGUCCCCCGAGGAGGUGGACAGGCCUGUGUGCGGCCAGUCCCGGCGUCCUGGUGUUGAACGAAACAUGCCUACCAGGCCCAUCUGUGAAUGACUGUGGGAAGGGCGAAAUUGACACCUCCCCUGGAGAAGCUGACUGGAGCUAGGAAAUGUUUGACAGUACCCCCUCCCCUUUUAGAAUAAAAGAAGGCUGAAUUCUAACUCAGGCAAGAUGAUUCUAUGGGACGCUAGACCACCAUCUUCUCAGUCUGCUGGCUUUCCAAAUAAAGGUGUCUCCUAUGAACCUAACCAGGUGAUGCAUUCUGUAGAUGAACACUCCCGGGGCACACAGCAAGGCAGAGAAAGGUGGAGAGGAUCCAGGAGGCCAAAGGGAGGCUCUUCUACACGUGUGUCUAAUCACCAGCGGUAACCAGAGGACACGGUUUUGUAAAACUGAAGAGUCACAAAAUAGAAAACAUAAAAAUGUAGCUCUUAAAGAAGUG